AACGAACGCUGGCGGCAGGCCUCAUACAUGCAAGUCUAACGGGUGUAGCAAUACAUCAGUGGCGCACGGGUGAGUAACGCGUGGGAAUAUGCCCUUGACUACGGAACAACCUCGGGAAACUGAGGCUAAUACCGUAUAAUGUCUCCGGACCAAAGAUUUAUCGGUCAAGGAUUAGCCCGCGUCUGAUUAGGUAGUUGGUGAGGUAACGGCUCACCAAGCCUACAAUCAGUAGCUGGUCUGAGAGGAUGAUCAGCCACACUGGGACCGAGACACGGCCCAGACUCCUACGGGAGGCAGCAGUAAGGAAUAUUGGACAAUGGGGGAAACCCUGAUCCAGCCAUGCCGCGUGAGUGAAGAAGGCCUUCGGGUUGUAAAGCUCUUUUACCCCUGACGAUAAUGACGGUAAGGGGAGAAAAAGCCACGGCUAACUUCGUGCCAGCCGCCGCGGUAA
rnacentral:rRNA from 1 species